GGUGAAACCUAAUUGGCCUGAAGAAGAGCUUGCGUCUGAUUAGCUAGUUGGUGGGGUAAAGGCCUACCAAGGCGACGAUCAGUAGCUGGUCUGAGAGGAUGAGCAGCCACACUGGGACUGAGACACGGCCCAGACUCCUACGGGAGGCAGCAGUGGGGAAUUUUCCGCAAUGGGCGAAAGCCUGACGGAGCAACGCCGCGUGAGGGAGGAAGGUCUUUGGAUUGUAAACCUCUUUUCUCAAGGAAGAAGUUCUGACGGUACUUGAGGAAUCAGCCUCGGCUAACUCCGUGCCAGCAGCCGCGGUAAUACGGGGGAGGCAAGCGUUAUCCGGAAUUAUUGGGCGUAAAGCGUCCGCAGGUGGUCAGCCAAGUCUGCCGUCAAAUCAGGUUGCUUAACGACCUAAAGGCGGUGGAAACUGGCAGACUAGAGAGCAGUAGGGGUAGCAGGAAUUCCCAGUGUAGCGGUGAAAUGCGUAGAGAUUGGGAAGAACAUCGGUGG
rnacentral:rRNA from 3 species